AUUGAACGCUGGCGGCAGGCCUAACACAUGAACGUGGGCGGAGGGGAGGACGGGUGGUUAAUUUAUGGGAAUCUGCCUGAGGGAGGGGGAUACCUCCUGGAAACGGUGGCUAAUACCGCAUACAACCAAGUGACCCCAAAUGGGAUUCGCUGGUGGGUGAGUUAACGGCUCACCUAGGCGACGAUCCCUAGCUGGUCUGAGAGGAUGACCAGCCACACUGGGACUGAGACACGGCCCAGACUCCUACGGGAGGCAGCAGUGGGGAAUAUUGCACAAUGGGCGCAAGCCUGAUGCAGCCAUGCCGCGUGUAUGAAGAAGGCCUUCGGGUUGUAAAGUACUUUCAGUCGGGAGGCGUUACCGACAGAAGAAGCACCGGCUAACUCCGUGCCAGCAGCCGCGGUAAUUC
rnacentral:rRNA from 1 species